AUUGAACGCUGGCGGCAGGCCUAACACAUGCAAGUCGAGCGGAUGAAGGGAGCUUGCUCCUGGAUUCAGCGGCGGACGGGUGAGUAAUGCCUAGGAAUCUGCCUGGUAGUGGGGGAUAACGUCCGGAAACGGGCGCUAAUACCGCAUACGUCCUGAGGGAGAAAGUGGGGGAUCUUCGGACCUCACGCUAUCAGAUGACCCUAGGUCGGAUUAGCUAGUUGGUGGGGUAAAGGCCUACCAAGGCGACGAUCCGUAACUGGUCUGAGAGGAUGAUCAGUCACACUGGAACUGAGACACGGUCCAGACUCCUACGGGAGGCAGCAGUGGGGAAUAUUGGACAAUGGGCGAAAGCCUGAUCCAGCCAUGCCGCGUGUGUGAAGAAGGUCUUCGGAUUGUAAAGCACUUUAAGUUGGGAAGAAGGGCAGUAAGUUAAUACCUUGCUGUUUUGACGUUACCAACAGAAUAAGCACCGGCUAACUUCGUG
rnacentral:rRNA from 1 species